UACGUAGGGUGCGAGCGUUAAUCGGAAUUACUGGGCGUAAAGCGUGCGCAGGCGGCUUGCCAAGUCAGAUGUGAAAGCCCCGGGCUCAACCCGGGAACGGCGUUUGAAACUGGCAGGCUAGAGUGCGGUAGAGGAGAGUGGAAUUCCCGGUGUAGCAGUGAAAUGCGUAGAGAUCGGGAGGAACAUCAGUUGCGAAGGCGGCUCUCUGGACCAGCACUGACACUGAGGCACGAAAGCGUGGGGAGCAAACAGG
rnacentral:rRNA from 1 species